ACAGCCUGGAUAAUCAGUGGGCCAGGGCUCAAACCUGCCUCCUGGCUCUUUUUAAGGUGGUGGUGUGGAUACUGUGAUGCCUGUGUUCAGGAAUUGGAUGGGACUGCCUGUGAUACCGGGUGUUGGCAGGGAGACCAUUAUCACUGAACACAAUUAGAAGACCUGGGUCCCACACCCUGACUCUACCUUGCCUCCAGGUACAUCGCUCUGGACGUUUCUGGUUCCCCUGCCCACCGCUCUUUUCCACCCUCCCCUGGUGUACCCUGACUACUUAUUCCGUGGCUCUUUGAGGCUGGUGUUGCCUCUUUCUGUACACUUGCAUCACACUGGACACCCGUAGGGCCUCGAACAUGGAUGCAGGUUGGAUAACCGUUCCUCAAGGUGAAGGCACUACACAGCCGUAGGUGCCACUCUGGCUGUAUCGCAUAGCGAUGGGAGGGGGCACAGCCCCCCUUGUCCCAGCCAAGGCUGUCUCUGUCACCGCACCGAAGUGACUUUCUUCUCCUGGUUCCCCUGCCUCCCGCCUGUGCUCCCUGCUUGAGCCUCCCGCUUUCCACGUCAGCACGCAGCCGGCUUCACUCCAUCUCUCUCCGUGGCUCGGGAGAGGACCCACGUCCUUGGCCGCCCGCCGCCGCGGAGGUGUGGUGCUCCAGCCCCGGAGCAGCUCAUCUCCCAACCACCAGCACUCCAACACCGGAGACGGGGAUGAGCUGCAGGUCCCGGAGCCCUGUCCGAGAUGUCCGUCAGCGUGCCCCGUCCGCCUGCCGGAGCUGCAGGAGAUGUCUUGUCCGUUCGGAUGGCGUCACGAGCUCUGCAGCGUGUUAAAAAGCCCCUCUUUCUCGAGAGCUUCUUCAGCGAUGGGGGACAGGCUUUACUAGAAGCGAAGCUGAAGGCAUGCCAGACGGGCAGCAAGAUGCAAACGCCUGGCUGAGUAAUUUUUGUAUCAUUGUCAAAUCCACGCGUGCGAACAGCAGGAGCCAGACCCUCGAAAUCAUGAAGCUGGCACAACCGUGAGAUUUAUUUUUAAAACCAUUUGUGCCUUUCUCUUUGGUGCCUGCGCACGUUCAGAGGAGUUUUUCAAGGUUUUUAUUGCAGCCGCUGGCUGGGACUUGGCUGUCUAAUUCAGCUUGCACUUAAACUGUACAUGCCUAAUGAGUCAAUUCUCCUCUAAAGAUAAAACCCAAAUUCUCUAUAUAGGCGAUCGAGAAAGAGGCUGGGACUUUUGAAAGCCUCUGGAGUUGGUCCCAUAAAAGAUAUUACCCCUCUCCAAAAAUCUUGCAUUCCUUCAGGCUAGGCACCAAAGAAAGGCACACAAAAUCUCCCCGCGGAGGUCAAAGUAGCUCCUUCUCUGCACUGACUAUAAAGAAAAUCCAGGUGCUGGCAUUUUUUUCUAAUAUUCAUCUGCCAGAACAGAGCUAGUAAGAGAAUACUCAAAGAUUCAGCAUAAACCUGCAAAGCAAAAGUAACUAGUAGAUUCAGCAGCUGCAGAUAAUUGCAAAAAAGUCUAGUAUUAAAGAUGGCCAGAAAAUGUAAGUUGCAUUCCCUGCUUCUUUAGAAUUUAAGUAAGGUGUGUUCUGGAAUAUUCAGUCAAUACUUUAGUAAUGUCAGAAUUAUAUGACAUGAAAUAUAGUGUAAAAGACACCUAAAUAUGAUACAAAAUGAAAAAAUAAUCCUAAAUGAUGAAGUAAAAAAAAAUAAAAUCCAGUAUUCAAAAAUAAAGAAGAAAUGGGUUUGUUAAGUCAUCUUUUCCUGAGAAAAAUUUCUGCAAGUUAACUGGGACCACAAAACUUUCUCCUUGGGCACAAGGUCAUUUUACAAUGGAAAUUUGUUUUAUUAAAAAGAAGACCAAGUGUAAUUGGUACCAAUAAAUAUAAAAUGCUACAGCCAUUACAAGGCACAAACAGAGGAGACUCAUGAAAUACAAAAUAGCUUCAAUAAAAAGGAUCAUUGAAGCAACUGCAUUUACCUCCACUGAGGUCUCCCUUUUCACCUCACAAUUCCUGCAGGGUAGAUGUGGAGUGGAUGCAUUCAGACAACAGGGAAAAUUAUUAAGAUGGUCCUUAACCAAAUCCAGUGACAACUGUCAUCUAGUUCAUUCAGUACAGACAAAUAAUGAAUUUAUCACCAGCAGAUUCAAGUGUAAAGAAUCGCCCAAGUCUUCCAAAAAAGGAGUCCUUUCCAGUUCAUCCUCUAAGAGAUCAAAAGAAAUGAAACAAGUAAGCGACUAUUCAAAAGAAAUAUGAAUCAGCCCCAAAUACUGAUCGGGGUGGGGGGCAAGAUCAGGCAUUUUUCAUGCGCUCCUCCCCCUUUUCCUACCCACCCCUGCUCCAAACACACAUGUUCAGCUGUAAAUUUAUAACUGCACUCUUUUGCACAUAUAUCAUGUUUGUCUGGAGAUGAAAGAGUUUUGAGGAAGUUCUUUGUCAAUCAGUGUUAUUAAUGAUGUGGUUGUAAAUCUCACUGUCAUAGUAUUUACUGAGUAAAUAAGUACUGUGUGACCUAGAGGAAUAUUUUCCCAGUGAGGAAACUGGUUUGAAAAAAAUUGACUCAUCUUUUUUUCCGUUAUACCUCAAAGUCAUGCAUGGGGUUGGGCACUCAUUCAAUGAUGAACUCAGACAGUCUGUAUCUUACAGGAUCAGUAACACGCAGAUUUUCUAGAUGUAUCACUUAGCCUGAAGUCCAAAGGUUUGUGCAAAAUGUAUAUAUUUGUUGAUUGGACUGGAAAUAAAAGAAAUUUAUGUGUUUCUCCUAUAA